rnacentral:rRNA from 1 species
UAGCUCGUCAUGCUAGAGCACUUUUUCAAUGUGCUUGCCAACGAGAAGGCGUGAUGACUAAUUCGUAUGUCAAUCCAUAUCAACUUUCGAUGUCAUUGACUGCGCCUACCAUGGUGACCACUGGUAAUGGGGAAUCAGUGUUCGAUUCCAUACAGGGACCCUGACAAACGGCUACCACAUGCAAGAAGGGCAGCAGGCGCGCAAAUGACCCACUCCCAACGCGGGAAGGUAGUGA